rnacentral:rRNA from 1 species
AGAGUUUGAUCCUGGCUCAGGACGAACGCUGGCGGCGUGCUUAACACAUGCAAGUCGAACGCGCUCCAUUCGGUAGCAAUACUGAUGAAGAGCGAGUGGCGAACGGGUGAGUAGCACGUGAGCAACCUGCCCCGGAGACUGGGACAACACCGGGAAACCGGUGCUAAUACCGGAUACCCUUAUCGGACCGCAUGAUCCGACAAGGAAAUGGAUUCCGCUUCGGGAGGGGCUCGCGGCCUAUCAGCUUGUUGGUGGGGUAAUGGCCUACCAAGGCAUCGACGGGUAGCUGGUCUGAGAGGACGAUCAGCCACACUGGGACUGAGACACGGCCCAGACUCCUACGGGAGGCAGCAGUGGGGAAUCUUGCGCAAUGGGCGAAAGCCUGACGCAGCAACGCCGCGUGGAGGACGAAGGCUUUCUGAGUUGUAAACUCCUUUCAGCAGGGACGAUAGUGACGGUACCUGCAGAAGAAGCACCGGCCAACUACGUGCCAGCAGCCGCGGUGAUACGUAGGGUGCAAGCGUUGUCCGGAUUUAUUGGGCGUAAAGGGCUCGUAGGCGGUUUGAUAAGUCGGGUGUGAAACCUCCAGGCUCAACCUGGAGCCGCCACUCGAUACUGUCAUGACUAGAAUUCGGUAGGGGACCAUGGAACUCCUGGUGUAGCGGUGAAAUGCGCAGAUAUCAGGAAGAACACCAGCAGCGAAGGCGGUGGUCUGGGCCGACAUUGACGCUGAGGAGCGAAAGCGUGGGGAGCGAACAGGAUUAGAUACCCUGGUAGUCCACGCCGUAAACGUUGGGCACUAGGUGUGGGGACUAUUCAACGGUUUCCGUGCCGCAGCUAACGCAUUAAGUGCCCCGCCUGGGGAGUACGGCCGCAAGGCUAAAACUCAAGGAAUUGACGGGGCCCGCACAAGCGGCGGAGCAUGUGGCUUAAUUCGAGGCAACGCGAAGAACCUUACCUGGGUUUGACAUGUAGGGAAAAGCCGUAGA